rnacentral:lncRNA from 1 species
CAGUUUUUGCCGUAAUCCAACCUCUCGCUACCCUCCUAUAAAUUCCAACUCUGCGAAGAGAAGUUAGAAUACUACUCUUUGUGUAAGGUUUAUCUAGACAUACUCUUACGAAUCUUGCGGUCGGUGUGUUGAGCAGGAGCUGCUCCUGCUCAACACCCUGCUGCAGGGGAUCAUGUCAAGUCGAACUGGGAUCUAGCAGCCCAGUUCUGGUAAAUCCUUUCCAGCCUAUUGAUACCUUUGAGACUUGAUCAUGGAUUGGUUUACAUUUGAGUCCUCGGGCACAUAGCGAACACUGCCGUCUCAGGGUCUUCACGAGGCUUCAGCAGCUGCACUUUUUCCUUCUGAUUCCUCUGGAAGUUGAACAUGUUACGAAAUUUGCUCUGGCUGCGAAAAUUGAAAGAUGCCGAAGCACCCGCGUUUGCCGACACUGAUACAAGGCUUUACCGGCGGCGGUGAAGACUUCGCUACAUUAUACAUGUGUGAUCGACCGUCGUCAUCUUUGCAUUCAACGUCCGAUCGAGACUGACCAUCGCAAGGAUAUACGGGGUGAGGCGGCUGGCGGCUUCUCAAUGCUCUGCUUUACAUCUAUAUCCUGCAGGUGUCCACGGUACCAGGUUCUUAGCUAUGGAAUGAGCACUCGCCGCAGCCGCGAGUUAUUUGAUGGUGGAGGGCUUUCGGGUAAGAAGUCGCGACGUUGUGUGACUUGUUGCCAGCCAGUUAAGUUGUGAUCAUGCGAUGAAUCCCUUAGCGCUGCAUAAGGGGCGUGGGUUGCUCUACACAUCCCUCGCCUGUUUAUACAGCGCAAAAAGAAGUAGACCAUCAUCAGGGCGGCGUUGAGGUCCCUCUGGAUCCAUGAGUUGUUGCCUUAAACCUGGUCCCACAGCACUUCGCAGAAACAAGACAUAAGAGGGGAAUAGGGAAUGUUUCUGUGCGCAUGGUGGGCAGCACCUGUGCAUGUGGCAGUAUGGGUUUGUGGUUUUGGAAGAAACGAAGAUCGUACGAGGCACCUGAAUAAAGGCUCCAGAGCGAACCCUUACCCGCACUUGCGCCCGACCUUGGGUGCGACAGCAACAUUUAGCGCACAUUUGUGGCCUAAUCAGGGUGCGGUGGCCAUUGUGCAUCGAUUCCCUUCGGCGGCCAGACAAAUCAUGCGUUUCUUGCUGAGCUGUACUUUUAGGUUUGCCUACAGGUUGGCUGUAUCGAUAGACGUUGCCCCAUGCAUCGCCUUGUUAUCUGCGGAGCGGAGGGGUUUUGGUGGGCUUACGGCAUCGGCAUUAUGGGCCUGGCCCUCCACAUUUGUACGUUCCGUAUUUGGCAUUCUGUUUGACUGCUAAUGUGGCAAAGCCAAUCCGCUGACUGUGUUGCCUAACUGUGUUAGUGCAGAGAUGGCCAAGUUCAUUAAUCUUCAAGAUGGUCGCGUCGUGUUAUGCAACUGGAGGCGGGAGCGUCGGUCCAGCGAUUGCAUAGCGCUAUUGUACAGCUCGCUUGGCCGAACUCCCGAUAGUCUGGGGGGCGGUGUAUGUAGAUCUCCACGUUAGCUGGAUUGGGCGGCUUGGGUGUUUUCAGCGCUUGUGAUGUGAGGCUGUGGCAGGUUAGCUGGAUUGAUCCAACUGUUUCAGACGAUUAUGUGCAUGAUAUGUUGUAAUGUGCGUGGCAUAUGAAUUUGUCGUUUGAGUGAGACCCGAUAGCGGUCGCAUCCGUGGUGUAUGGACAGACUGUCGGAAGACGGCCAAGUCCAAGAAGUCCUCGAGGACUCACUCCCUAGGAUGUAACGAGCAUUCAGCCAAAUCAAGUACAGCUACGAAAGUGUUCAAAUCAAGCAGCUCGCAGGCAUCUACAGUCGUAAUGCACGUACAGCCUCUACCUGCACGCAUGUCGUACGAAAACAGUUGCGCAUCGCACAGCAUAUGGAUGGAGCCCUUCCGAUAAACGCUCCACAAAGAAAAAAACAAAUUUUCAGGACUACAAGUCUAUGAGAGGGGAAUAGGCAGAGCAGACAAUGUGCAGAAACAUGAAAGCAUUACGAAGGACCUAGUUGCUGCUGGCAGCAAAGUGAAGCAGUAAUUCUAGGACGAAUCCGUGUAUUCCGCAAAACGAGCACACAGGUGCGCCCCAGCUGCAGCAGCAAGCGUUCGGAGUAAUCGGCAAAAUCUCUCAAGGCAGAAUAACGGGGCACCCGCCUCAACCGCUUGCAGGGGCCCCGCCGGGGCCCCGCAUGUGCAACCGAUUCCGGUGGGCUUUCGAGCAUCCCUCCCGGGUAUCUUAACGGACCGACCUGUGUAAACAGCAUAUUAUUGCUGUUAGCCAUGAGAUUUACAUUCUUCUCCAGACUUCUCCCCUUUCAUUUCGUUGACUUGCCUGGAUGAGUCUGGGAACGCAUUCCUGCGUUCAGGUCUUCCGAAUUUAGACCAGUGCCGGAGCUCUCAAGGUUUGUGUUCUUGUAACCACCAAUGCAGGAGUAAACGCACACAGACCCGCACGCUGCGGGCUCCUAUUCUUGAAGUUCUCGGAACCAGCGUCACGUGCGCACACCCAGUGGCAAACAGACCAUGCGCCAAAGAGCUCAUCGUUCAUAACGGGCGAGCGCGGUCUUCGCGGAUAGGCCAAUUGUCAGCGUUUUUGACAAAUCUUUACCGACAGCGCAACUAUGCACAUAACGCUGUUAAAACUAGACGAUAUCUUCUUCAUGCGGUUUGUCCUUAUGCCGCUCUGUUCACAUUUCUGGUGCCGUCCGGGAGUAGGGACAGCCGGAAGGAAUUUCCAAACAUAAGCUUUGCACGUGGCACGUUUUCUGGUCAAAAUGGUAGCUCUUUCGUUGGGAGGGAUGCCUAGCCAACCACCCACGUUACCGCUAGGGAAG